rnacentral:rRNA from 1 species
CAAUUAUACCGUGAAACUGCGAAUGGCUCAUUAAAUCAGUUAUCGUUUAUUUGAUAGUACCUUACUACUUGGAUACCCGUGGUAAUUCUAGAGCUAAUACAUGCAAAAAACCCCGACUUCGGGAGGGGUGUAUUUAUUAGAUAAAAAACCAAUGCCCUUCGGGGCUCCUUGGUGAUUCAUAAUAACUUAACGGAUCGCAUGGCCUUGCGCCGGCGACGGUUCAUUCAAAUUUCUGCCCUAUCAACUUUCGAUGGUAAGGUAUUGGCUUACCAUGGUUUCAACGGGUAACGGAUUUUUAGGGAAAGAUCCCGGAGAGGGAGCCUGAGAAACGGCUACCACAUCCAAGGAAGGCAGCAGGCGCGCAAAUUACCCAAUCCCGACACGGGGAGGUAGUGACAAUAAAUACUGAUACAGGGCUCUUUUGGGUCUUGUAAUCGGAAUGAGUACAAUUUAAAUACCUUAACGAGGAACAAUUGGAGGGCAAGUCUGGUGCCAGCAGCCGCGGUAAUUCCAGCUCCAAUAGCGUAUAUUAAAGUUGUUGCAGUUAAAAAGCUCGUAGUUGAACCUUGGGCCUGGCUGGCCGGUCCGCCUCACCGCGUGUACUGGUCCGGCCGGGCCUUUCCUUCUGGAGAACCGCAUGCCCUUCACUGGGUGUGUCGGGGAACCAGGACUUUUACUUUGAGAAAAUUAGAGUGUUCAAAGCAGGCCUUUGCUCGAAUACGUUAGCAUGGAAUAAUAGAAUAGGACGUGCGGUCCUAUUUUGUUGGUUUCUAGAACCGCCGUAAUGAUUAAUAGGGAUAGUCGGGGGCGUCAGUAUUCAAUUGUCAGAGGUGAAAUUCUUGGAUCUAUUGAAGACUAACUACUGCGAAAGCAUUCGCCAAGGAUGUUUUCAUUAAUCAGUGAACGAAAGUUAGGGGAUCGAAGACGAUCAGAUACCGUCGUAGUCUUAACCGUAAACUAUGCCGACUAGGGAUCGGGCGAUGUUUCUAUAUUGACUCGCUCGGCACCUUACGAGAAAUCAU